GGUUUCACUAAGUCGGGAUGAAAAAGAUUCCGGUCCAAAAACAAGGAAAGUUGCUGCUAUUCUCUCUAUGUAACAAUGAGUUAAAUGAAACAAUGGGGGGGGGCUUCAUUUUCUAGAUCCUUGACCAUUACUCUCUUUACAGAUCACUGUCUUUCACUGCUGGUAGUGGGAGAUUUAAUAGGAAUUAAGGAAUUACAUCUGACGGGACCCAGAAAAAAGGCCUUUUCUGUGGUGGCUCCCUCCCUUUGGAAGAUCAUCCAGACUGGCCCACACUUUGACACUCUUUCGCAAGGCUCUGAAGACCUGGUUCUGCCAACGGGCCUGGGGAACCCAGAGCGGGAUGGAACCCAUCAAAUGGCUUGUUUGAUUGCUUGUUGUCACCUGAGGAGUGGGUGCUUCAGUUUCAAAGACAGAAAACUAUUCCUAUCAUGAAUAUAACUUCACCCAUAUUAGGAUGAAGGCCAAAGAGAGAAUUAAUUAAGGUAUCAGGAUCCGAAAGACAAAAGAAAUUAAUGUCCUGCUAUGAUUUAUAUUAAUUGAUCUUGUCUAAUUAGUACUUAUAAAAAGAUAUCUUAAAGCACUCUAUAAUACUUUUCUGGCUUCAUCAUUUGAUUUCAGUAUAUGUAUUGCCUGACAUAUUGUAUGUCUUUUGCAAGAAAAUGAUUUUAAAAUGUC